ACCAGAUUCAGUUACACCUCUUGAAUCUUCACCGGUUAUACCAAUGUAUACUGCAGUUCCCAUUGACAAAUUUUAUGAUUCCAAAGGAAAAUAGACGUCACCAAUAGUUAUGGGGAGACAUAUGAGUGGUCACACCUCCAGCGCUCCAGUUAAGAAUGUAGGAACGACCCUAGAUUACAGGUCCGUAGACCCCAAUCGAGCUAUCUAAAAAAAACUAGGAUGCAAACUGGGUGAAGAAAAUUAGAAACAGAGCAAAAUAAUUCAGUACCGAGGAUAAAGUCAUACCAGACGACUUUUUAGGAGAACGAAAGGAAGAGAAGGUGAUCUUGACAGAUUGAACUCUCUAUAUGCUGAGUUCGACAUGAUUUCCUGACUCAGAAGUGGUAAAACGAAGAAAUAUUGGUGUACAGACAGAUGAAGACAAGACGACAGAGUUUAAGCUGAUAGAGUUGAACGUGGAAGUGAAAGACAAAAACAGAGAUACAAACAGAGAAUACAGGGACCCAGUGUGACAUUCUUUUUGAAUAAUUUAAUUUUGGAUGUAACGCGUC
rnacentral:lncRNA from 1 species